rnacentral:misc_RNA from 1 species
CCGAGUUAUCAACUCCCAAACCCCUGUGAACAUACCUAUCGUUGCCUCGGGAUCGCCGGCGAUCCGGCCCGAACCAGGCGCCCGCCGGAGGACCCCAAACUCUUGUAUUUCUAUAUGAAUCUUCUGAGUGAAACAAGCAAAUAAAUUA